rnacentral:rRNA from 1 species
AACGAACGCUGGCGGCAUGCCUAACACAUGCAAGUCGAACGAGACCUUCGGGUCUAGUGGCGCACGGUUUCGUAACGCGUGGGAACCUGCCCUUAGGUUCGGCAUAACUCCCCGACAGGGGUGCUAAUACCGGAUAAUGUCUUCGGACCAAAGAUUUAUCGCCUUUGGAUGUGCCCGCGUUGGAUUAGCUAGUUGGUAGGGUAAAAGCCUACCAAGGCGACGAUCCAUAGCUGGUCUGAGAGGAUGAUCAGCCACACUGGGACUGAGACACGGCCCAGACUCCUACGGGAGGCAGCAGUGGGGAAUAUUGGACAAUGGGCGAAAGCCUGAUCCAGCAAUGCCGCGUGAGUGAUGAAGGCCUUAGGGUUGUAAAGCUCUUUUACCCGGGAUGAUAAUGACAGUACCGGGAGAAUAAGCUCCGGCUAACUCCGUG